AGUGGUGGGUGCUACUUGUCAGCCACACCAAAUUGGAUGGUGGUGUCCUACACUAAUCAUGGGGGGCAAUUUGCAGAAGACAGGUAACUGGAGCAGAUCCCUGGAAGAGUUAAACCCGAAGGAAGAAGCCUGCAUACCAGAGAAUGCCAACAAUCAACUGCCAGCCGAAACAUCUGAACAGCCAGGCCCAGAUGCCAACAGACAAAGAGAAAUGGAGUGCUCCAGUCACCUAACAGUCAGGAAGAAUAACAAAGACAAACUAGUGAAAGAUGAUAAAACACUUAGGAAGAAACCAGGAAGAAACACCUUUCAGUUGCCACCCGCCUGCCCAAGAAACUAUAAGAGAACAGUAAGACCAACAAUAUUUUUAUGUUCUCACAAGACAAAUAAUGCAAAGAAUAAAACCCACCAUAGCCAAAACAAAAAACGUUGGGAUAUGAAACCAUUCCAAGUGACCUCCUGUGGAUCGAGAAAGUGUGAAGCCUGGGUUAGAAACUUAGAACAAGCUACAGCAGUUUUAGAAUUAAAUGUGGAGAAAAGAAAAGACAUUUGAGAUCACAUCUAGAGCCAACAAGUUGUGUGCCAGUUGGCAGUUGAAAUAAAACAUUCAAGAUGUGGGAAAAAAUAAAUUAUAGUGGUAUAGAAAAGUAGAACUAAUAGGUUCUCCUCUAGGAUUCAUAACCUUACCUGCUAUUGCCCUUGUCUUCCCCCAAGAACUUGAAGUUGUUACUGUGAACCCUGUAUUUAGUUAUUCUCAUAUUACAAGAAAAUAACCACUUUAAAACAAAAGGGAUGAUGCCUGUGUACAUUUACUCAGGCAAAUCUUGUGUUUUCAGGAAUCUACAGAUUUCAAAUGGUGUCACAUUCCCCAAAUCAUUUUACAAGCAGAAAUAUUGUUUAAGCAGCUACACAGACAUCCCUGAUGCCAGUCAAUUGACACUUGAAAUGAGGAGACUUCCAAUCCACCAAUAAUCAUACUGAAAUAAUCAUUAUGCUGCCCCUGGUGUAUCUGUGGUUUUACUGUAACACAGCAAUCAUCAUUGCAGUUCAAGGUACAUUGUUUGGCAGAGGCAUUUAUACCUUCAAGAAGAACUCUUCAUUCUCCUCUUUAAAGUCUGAUGAAAGCUUGUUCUGGAAAACCUUCAAAAUCAGGAAAUAAAGCUUCAUAUGCUAUCC
rnacentral:lncRNA from 1 species